CAGCCGCCCGGUAAUACCGGCGGCCCGAGUGGCGGCCACUAUUAUUGGGCUUAAAGCGUCCGUAGCCGGGUUGGUUAGUCUCCCGGGAAAUCUGGCCGCUUAACGGUCAGAAUUCCGGGAGAUACUGCCAGCCUAGGGACCGGGAGAGGCCGAGGGUAUUCCCGGAGUAGGGGUGAAAUCCUAUAAUCCCGGGAGGACCACCUGUGGCGAAGGCGCUCGGCUGGAACGCGUCCGACGGUGAGGGACGAAGGCCAGGGGAGCAAACCGGAUUAGAUACCCGGGUAGUCCUGGCUGUAAACGAUGCGGACUUUGUGUCGGACAAGCUAUGAGCUUGUCCGGUGCCGGAGGGAAACCGUUAAGUCCGCCGCCUGGGGAGUACGGCCGCAAGGCUGAAACUUAAAGGAAUUGGCGGG
rnacentral:rRNA from 1 species